ACUCCUACGGGAGGCAGCAGUGGGGAAUAUUGCACAAUGGGCGCAAGCCUGAUGCAGCCAUGCCGCGUGUAUGAAGAAGGCCUUCGGGUUGUAAAGUACUUUCAGCGGGGAGGAAGGUGUUGUGGUUAAUAACCACAGCAAUUGACGUUACCCGCAGAAGAAGCACCGGCUAACUCCGUGCCAGCAGCCGCGGUAAUAC
rnacentral:rRNA from 1 species